GGCAACCGGCUCGGGUCUCCUUACGCACUGUGGAAGCUUUGUUCCUUCGCUCUUUGCAAUAAAUCUUGCUACUGCUCACACUUUGGGUCCACACUGCCUUUAUGAGCUGUAACACUCACCGGGAAGGCCUGCAGCUUCACUCCUGAGCCAGCGAGACCACGAGCCCACCAGGAGGAACGAACAACUCCAGAGGCGCCGCCUUAAGAGCUGUAACCCGGCAAAGGUCUGCAGCUUCACUCCUGAGCCAGGGAGACCACGAACCCACCAGAAGGAAGAAACUCCAAACACAUCCGAACAUCAGAAGGAACAAACUCCAGACGCGCCACCUUAAGAGCUGUAACACUCACUGGGAGGGUCCGCGGCUUCAUUCUUGAAGUCAGUGAGACCAAGAACCCACCAAUUCCGGACACAUAACCACUAUGCUAGACCAGAUACAGGAAAUCUUCAUAACCUCAGGAAGUUCUCCUGUGCCUCUUUGCAGUCACUUCCUCUCCGUGUCUUCCUCCCACCCCCGCCAUCUGAGGCAACCACAACUGGAAUUUCUAUCAUAUUGUGUUAAAUUACUACUUCUAGAAAUUCAUGUAAAUGAAAUCAACCAGAAUGUGAUGUUUUCAGAUAUAUGAUCUCUGGUUGUUUUGUGAUCCCAGGAUCUACUGAGAUGUAUAGCAUAAGAAGUUAUACACAUCCUGGAUUUUGUAAGUUUCCCAGCUUCUCCAUUGUUCUUGAGUAUCAUUUUUCAGGGCAAUCAUAAAAAUGGGCAGGGCAUGAAGCAUUGCACUUCUAAAACUUGCAAAUCUGAAACCUGGAUUUCCAAACAUAUCAGAGGUAUGUGUAAAAUAAGAAUACCUAUUUUCUGAGUGAAGGCUUGAGGGAGUCCUCUAUGAAUAAAUGACACUAUUUUGACUACCUAGAGGUCAUUUUUGUGUUCCUUUGUUUUAUUUGUUAGACAGGUGGAGCUGCUUGGUAUUUAAAUUCUACCCAGGAGGAAUGUUACUGUAUUUCUUUGGAUUACCUAUCAUUUUCUCCACUGAGAUGAUGAAAGGUUUCAGAUGUCAGAGGAUAAUGGAAAACAGUGAGGUGAAGAGUUCAGCUUUCUGCACAUGCAUCUGACUUUUACCGUCUUGUAAGACAGAGAAUCUAGAUUCUUAUGGCUUAUUAGAAUUUUCUAGGAAGCUUUUAAUAUAUAUCUUUAUACUUGGCUUUACCCCAGUCUUUCUAGGGGUAGGGACUUGAGCAUCAGAUAUUUUCAAAAUCCCCAACUGAUUCUAAUGUGCAGGAGGUUGUGAAUCAUUGGUCUAAUGUCAAGUCAAUGAUAUUCUCCAAAAUCAAGUUUCUCAUCUAUAUAAUAAAAAUGUUGGAUUAUAAAAUGGCUUCCACUUUUUUUUGAAAGGGGACACAAAUCUCAAUCUAUAUCUUAAGAAAAAUCUUAACAUUUGUGGAAAUAAACAAAGACCAACCAAAUUAGAAAACAAAAGCUUUUAUUCAAAGCUUGCUAUAGCAAGGGAGUUAGCCUUUGUCCCUUGCAUUUUGGCAGAGACUCAAAGGCAGGCAGAGGAGUGGAAAAGUUUUAAUUAGUGGAGAAAGAGAAGGUUUCAAUUAUGCCCUGAUCAAAGGCUUUUGGCAUGGGGAAUGCUACAGGCUAACUAGAAGUGGGACAUCCUAUGGAAUGGCUAAGGGAUACAUACAUUCUCUGAUUGGUCCUAAGUUGGACAUGGGAACCAAAAUUAGAAAAGUUGUAAUUUAUUAAGUUCCGACUAUUCAGAGCUGAUUGUUACAGAAUUUUUUGCUUCUAGAUUGUUACUCGAGAUGGCAAUCUGGCUUUCCACAAGUCUGACUUACGGCAGGCUGGCUUCCUGAUUGGGAUCCUAGGCAGGUUGCUGCCAGUUAUAGGUCAGAGUUUUAUUUUUAUAUAUGGUCUGGCCAUGGUCCAUUGGUAUAUUCAGUCUCUCACAUUUAUAAUCCAAAUUCCUGUCACUCCCUUCUCCCUGUCUCCCACAAAAAAAAUAAAAGGAAAGGAAAGGCUUAAACCUUAUCUCAUAUAAUAGUGGAAUCUAUUCCCUACUUUAGUUCUCAUCAAUCAUCUCCUUCCUCUCUAUCCUGGAGGGAAAGCAGAAUUGCCUGAAUGUACCUCCUGAGUAUUGGCAGCCUGCUUUUCUGCAGUUAUCUAGCUCAUAAGCAUUGUUUCAGCAUCUCUGAAACAUGAUCUCCAUUCCCGUAGAAGGACCCAAGUUAGAGCAGCUCUUUCUCUGCUUUCCCUGUAACAUAAACAUGGCUAUUAGUAUCACGUUAUUACUAAAGUUUUACAGAUUAUGGAAGUGGUGUUGGGAUACUUUUAGCAAAAAGAAUAAAGCAAAUCAUAAUAUAAUACCCUGAAUUCUAAAAUUCAUCGACCAUCUCCACCACAAGAACAUUCUUACUGGUCGUCUUCUGAGAUUUCACUUCAUACCAUGUUGCAGAGCAAACUCCCCAUGUCCGCCCUUCCAUUAAUUCUCUCUUCUGCUUCUUGUGCACACCAAGGUCACUCUUAACACCAUUCUGACAGCAUUUUGUUUCAAAGGUAUAGCAGGAGGAAAUUGAGCAUGUUUCUUAUAUUAUAAUACGGUAUAAUUUGCAUAUUUGGUAUAAAGCUCUUAUCUAUAUCAGGCCCAAAGAACUUUGCUUUUUGACCAAAAGGCUUAUUAAGAUAUUUUCUCCAAACCAAAUUCAACAGUGUAUUAGAAGAAUCAUGUACCAUGAUCAAGUGAGAUUUAUCCCUGGGAUGCAACAAUGAUUCAACAUAUGCAAAUGAAUAAAUGUGAUACACCACAUUAACAGAAUCAAGAAUAAAAAUUAAAUGAACAUCUCAACUGAGGCAGAAAAAGCAGUCCAAAAAAUCCAAUUUUUUAAUGAUAAAAAUUCUCAACAAAUAAAGUAUAGAAUGUUCCUCCAUAUCACUAUCAGGGAAAUGCAAAUAAAAACAUCAGAGAGAUUUCUUCACAUCUAUUAGAAUGUUUAUUAUCAAAAGGUGAAAGGUAAGUGUUAGUGAGAAUAGAAAGAAAGGAAACUUUUUACAUUGUUGGUAAAAAUGUAAAUUUGUACAGUCAUUAGGAAAAAACAUAGAAAUUCCUCAAAAGAUUAAAAAAAGAACUACCACAUGAUCUUGAAAUCUCAUUUCUGGGUAUAUAUCCAAAGGAAAUAAAAUCAGUAUGUUGAAGAGACAUCUGCACUCCAUGUUCCUUGCAGCAUUAUUUACUAUGGCCAAGAUAUAAAAUCAAGCUAAAUCUCCAUUAAUGGAUGAAUGGAUGGAGAAAAUAUGGUGUAUAUAUACAGUGGAUUAUUAUUCAACCUUAAAAAAGACAGAAAUUCUGCCAUUUGCAACAACGUGGAUGAACCUGGAGGUGAAAUAAGCUAUGCACAGAAAGACAAAUACUGCAUGAUUUCUCUUAUAUGUGGAAUCUAAAAAGCAGAACUCAUUGAAGUAGAGAGUACAAUGGUGGUUGUCAGGAGCUGAGGAGUCAGGAAACAGGAAAAUGUUCAUUAAAGGGUAAGAAGUUUCAGCUAUGUAUGGGGAAUAAAUUUUGGAGUUCUAAUACACAGCAUGAGGACUAUAGUUAAUAAUACUGUAUUGUGUAUUUGGAACUCACUAAGAGAGUAGAUCUUAAAUGGUCUUAUCACACCCACAUACAAGGUAACUGUGAUGUGAUGGAUAUAGUAACUUGCUUGAUUGUGGCAAUCUUUUCACAAUAUAUGUGUAUACCAAAACAUCACGUUGUACCCCUUAAAUAUGUACAACUUUUACUUAUCACUUUUAAUUCAAUGAAACUGAAUAGAAGCGAUAUUUUCUGGAAUAAGAGUCUUUGACCUCUAAGGCAAUUGCUACUACUCCCCUGGAUUAUGGGAGAAAAGACAGUUUAGUUUUUUUCUCAUUUUUUUUCUUCUUCUUGUAUAUUUUAAUCUCAUAUGUGAAACAGAUAAGAUCACCAAAUCUGAUUCAAAUUAAAUAUAGAUCAAGUGUGGGCAAACUUUUCCUAGAAAGGGGUAGUAAACAUUUUAGACUUUUCCCAUUUUAUGAUCUCUGUCACAACUCAUCUCUGUCACAACUCAUCUCUGUCACAACUGCUGCAACAAAAAUCUCCUGUUGAAUCAUAAAGUGGCCACAGACAAUACAUAAGUAAGUAGUUAUAACUGUGUUCCUGUAAAACUUUAUUCACAAAAACACAUGGUGGGAUUUGGGAACAAGACAUAAUUGGCCAACCUGCCAUCUAGAGAGACUGACUCUAGAGCCCUGGUCAAUCAUCUGCCACUCCUUUCCAUAUUCCCCUUUCUUGUUCUAUUUAUGAUCCCGUGGAAGUUUCCUCUGAGCUCUAUUGAUUCUAAGGGAUACAGUUUGGAAAGGCACGUUUAUGGAAAAUACAUGAAGAGUCUUAAAUUUCAGAAUCACAUAAGUUUAAUGAAAAAAUUUGUUAAAGACUAAAUGUGUUUUUAAGUCAUGUUUUUCAUAUGUCUGAAUUUGGAAUUUAGAUCUAUGGUAGAAGUAGAAACUUUCCACGUGAAUUUUUCCAGAAGAAUAGAAGUUUCUUGCAGUAGAGUUAUACGUAUGUAUUUCUUGCCCCAUUAGGGCUGUGAACUUCUUAAAAGUGGGUAUUUUAUUUUUCUCAUAUCUAUGCCAAGCAUAAUAAUUUAUAUAGAAUAAGUGGUUAGUUAAUAUAGAAUAAUUGCAUUGAAAAAUUUGCAUCCUUCUGUAUUUUGAGAUUGUUAGCACUUUAUCCUAAUUAUCAGAUUAGUCUCUGGAAAUAAAUGAAAAUGAAAUUUUUAUAAACCCUAUUUCCUCUUAAAGUCACUGGCAUUCAUAGGAAAGAUAGUUGCUUAGGAUAAUUAAAUCUUAAAUACUUUAGAAGUAUCCCAUAUUUGGAAAAUAGCCCAGGAAUCACUGGGGGAAAAGAGAGAAAAAAUAAUUGGUUAUGCAGCCGUUUAGACAUCCAAACUUCCUGAAUAACAACUCCAAAUUCUAUUUCGUUUUCUUUUGAAAAGAGGGGCUGGCUACUGUUGGGCCAGUCUGACUUCUAUGACCACCUUCCUUCUGAAGAGCUUUGCUCAUGAUUGACUAGGGACUCAAGCUGAUUGACAGGUUUUCCCAUUGCUGAACAUAUAUUAGAGGCCUGUGUUAAUUAAGAAAUUCUCCCAACUACUUCAAUUUUUUUAGGGUAUACCCUUAGAUUCUGGUAAUUUAUUCAAAACCAAACAAAUGGGUGCCCAGAAUUGUCCAUUUUCAGGUUGUAUAAGGUGUGUGCUCUGUGCUCUCGUUUAAAAACAAGCAAGUAAAGAAACAAGAAAACUUGAACAACAAAGCUAAAAUACAGUUCUCCCAUUGAGUGCAUUCUAACUUUUUAUUUUAUUUUAUUUUAUUUUAUCUUUGGUUAUUUUUCUUAGGUAAAGAACAGCUUCAUUACUGGGUACAAAAAAAAGCAAGAUAAAGAUCAAAACAAACCAUGUGCCACGAGUCCUAAAUAUAUAUCACCAUUCAUUAUGAAAUGUUUAUUCUUAACAAUGAAGUGCUUAAAAAACAAAAUCAAGCUGAAACUUCUAUUUUCCAGUGAAGAACCAAGAUGGAGAUCAUCAACUGGGCAACAUUUGUGGUGUAAUUUCAUGUAGAUCACUGUCAUAAGCUUAUUUUAUACACAAGCACCCAUGUAAAUGUGCACACACUCAAUAGCAAUAUAUGUAGCUCUUUCGUGGAUCAAUUGCCAUAAAAUAUAUAUUAAAAAAUUAUGGCUUGCA